rnacentral:pre_miRNA from 14 species
UUUCUCAGGAUGUCUGGGUGUACAUCAUGGUGAAAUGCUCAAACAUCAGUGGUAGUUGUUCAUGCACCAUGAUUGUCUGAGCAUAUGCCAUGAUAUCCCCUCUAGCAUCACUGUCAUAU